AUUGAACGCUGGCGGCAGGCCUAACACAUGCAAGUCGGACGGCAGCGGGGGAUAGCUUGCUAUCCUGCCGGCGAGUGGCGGACGGGUGAGUAAUGCAUGGGGAGCUGCCCAGUCGAGGGGGAUAACAACUGGAAACGGUUGCUAAUACCGCAUACGCCCUGAGGGGGAAAGGUGGGGAACUUCGGUCCUACCGCGAUUGGAUGCGCCCAUGUGGGAUUAGCUAGUUGGUGAGGUAACGGCUCACCAAGGCGACGAUCUCUAGCUGGUCUGAGAGGAUGACCAGCCACACUGGAACUGAGACACGGUCCAGACUCCUACGGGAGGCAGCAGUGGGGAAUAUUGCACAAUGGGGGAAACCCUGAUGCAGCCAUGCCGCGUGUGUGAAGAAGGCCUUCGGGUUGUAAAGCACUUUCAGUCAGGAGGAAGGGGUGAUGGCUAAUAUCCAUCAUCAUUGACGUUACUGACAGAAGAAGCACCGGCUAACUCCGUGCCAGCCGCCGCGGUAA
rnacentral:rRNA from 1 species